AAGGAUGUGACAACUCAAGUGUGUAUAUCCAUGACUCAGUACACAAAGGACCAUAAGCAAGAAGCAUUAAGUUUGUUCAGUUCAAACAAGGUUGUAGUUGGGUUCAAAGGUUGAGUUUCAUCAAUCAACAAGUUUCAGGAAGAGUUUUCAAGGCUCGAAGCAUACAAGUAUUUUUGAGAGGUGCAUAAGCUACUCAGGUGAAAAGUAAUGUUCUUUACAAGGCAUUUCAAAUCAUUGCUCCCAAUGCAAGUAAAUGCAACCUAUAUGCUCUAGUCUCUCCUAGAAAUGCAAAUGAUGCAAACUAAAUGAUUUUUUUUUUUUUGUGUUUUUCAAAUUUUUUCAAAUUUUUUUUAUGGAAAUAGGUAUGCAGUGCAUGACUCAAUGAAA
rnacentral:lncRNA from 1 species